rnacentral:rRNA from 1 species
AUGAAGGUCCCAUGUUUUCUUCAGUGGCAGGAAGGUGAGUGGGAGGACCAUAGGUCAGGGAGUGUUUGGUUAAGAGAGAUAAAUGGGGAUGAGUUCACGACCAUGUUCCUGCCAUAUUUUGGCAAUAUGGUUCAGAGAGUGGUUUCAGAGGAGGUAGAGAAAGCGAAGUUCAAACAAUUCAGUGCAGCAGCAGCAACACCUCCAAGGAUGCUGGGCUCGCAGGGUCUAGGCCGCUAUCGAUUUAUUUCUCUCGGUCGAUGGCCUCUUUUGUCUAUGGUAGAUCUGCACGUCAGCGGUCACAAGAGGACUAGGAUCUGGCUGUGCUCCACGACUACCACAACUAAGCCGGGGAGCGCCAGAGACCUCAACUUGAAACUUUUAACUGCAACAUUUGUUGGUCAGUGUCCUACUCUGAAAUUGUUUGUAGUGCUUUAUUCUGUAUAG